CGGCGACUGACAGUCCAGAGAAAGAGAAUGCGGAAAAACCUUCUAGUCCAUAGCUCCUGAAGAAAAACGAGCUGAAGCGAAUAUGGAGAAACAGCUUCCUCCACGGAAAAUGCAGAGGCAUGCAACGCGGCGGAUGCAAGUUUGCUAAUUGAAAUUAUUCGCAAAGAUCUAGUAGAAUUAAAACUGGAGGUGCUGCGAAACGAUCCUUUUUCGACGCUAUACUCGGUUAAAACUAUCGACGCUUUGCACUUGAUGCCGGAACUGCCCACCCCGAGAGCAGAUGAGCGCUGGGGAAUGUUUUCAGCCACCUGGAGGAGGAAGUUCAGCGCGGAAGAAAUGUUACCAGACUUCGCCGAUCUGGUAUCUGGACUUUUUUGAUGAUCUCAUAGAGAUUGGGUGUGCAGAUGGGCGGUUGGAGUUUUGGGAGAGAACGACUGGUAACUUUAAGGGUAUAUAUGAAGCCGAAAACACCCACAACGAUGGGGUAACUAACAUAGUGACAAAGUGAUAGUCGCACGGUUGAGUGGAGGAAUCGAUUUUCUGAAACUGGAAACGUACACGCAAGGUUUUCAGAUCGAUUGGGGAUUUACGUCUGCAUAUGGGCGAACCCACGUACGCAGCGGUUCGGCAGGAAGCAUUAGUUUAUUUCAGCAACUCGCCGGCUCAAAUCCGUCCACAGCGUUGCCAGCUCAACAUCACGCAUCCGAGGAGGAGCUUCGAUGUAUCCUGGAGUUUCACCAGCAGGGUCACCGGUGACAUGUUUGGAAGUGGCGGGCGGUACAGUCAUUACUGGCAGCCAGGGCCACACUGUUAACGUGUUCCGGCUUGAUAGCCACCUAUUGCAGUUCACCCUAAACGGCCAUUGCGGUCCUAUCACAUGUAUUUUCAUAGACCAGUGGCAGGCCGAGAUGGGCGCAUCUGGUUGCCAGGAUGGUGUGCUAUGUGUGUGGGACUUGAUACGGGGUGCCUGUAUGUACAAAAUUGAAGCCCAUGACGACAUG